AUUAUAAAAUAGUUUAGAUGUUGUCCGUUCUUGCAUAAAAUUUCGUAUGGGUAUAUGUUAUAUUUUUUUUUUGUCUAAUAGGUAGUUUUAUCAGAAAACAUUUGAUUUGCAUAUUAUUAAGUUUAUAAUAAAAUAAGUUUAUAAAGAAGAAAAUUUAGGAAAAUUAAAAAAUAAAUUUGAAAAUUGGUCAAGUGAAAAAAAAUUAGGACAAUCAUCUAUUUUAAAGAUAAAAUAGCUGACUAUUCCAGGUUAGGAUUUUUGUAUUCUAGAUAUUUGGGAGAACUGUGAAACCUUGUUUUUUUAGCCUACAAAAACUAAGGAAGGUUAAAAUCCAAAUCGCAUCUAACUGUUAUCACUUUGCCGGCGACUAAAUCUGCUUCAGUUACUUCUUAUUAUCCUGACACCCAAAACCUAAUAAUCUCAAAUGCACAUUUCUUUCUUUUUCAAAAUAGAAAUCUGAAUCAAAACUAGAUCUGAAAUCCAUUUUCUUUCUUACAUAAAUGUUUUCUCAAGCAUCUGAGAAGAAGAGUAUUGUACUUUGGUUGAAGAAUCAUAACCUUUAAGCCGAAGACUGGUGAAGAUGUUGUAGAUAGUUCCUCCGGGAAAGGUGGUGAGGACUCUGAUGAUCGGAUUCCUCUAUCUUGUUUUAAACCAAAAAAGUUGGUCAGGAAGCAGCCUUUUGCUGUCUCCUCUACCGUUGUAGGUGACAAAACUGAAAAAGGUUGUGAAGGAGCUAAGGGUGUGCCUGGAGGAAACUCUGGAAAGAGGAAAACAGAAUCAAUCCAAGGUUUCUAGAAAUGAUAUGAAGGGCCAAGAUUCUCGGGAGAGCGAUCCUAUUAAGAACAUUGAAAGGAAUCCUCCUCUGAACCAAGGCUUGGUUGGUGGUUCGAUGUUUAGAUUCUCGGGUGCUGAUUCUGAUUCACUUGGUGUCAUUGCCUCUUCUAGUUUCAGCAAGCUUACUUUCGCCUAGAUGUUGCAGGUUGUGCCCCUAGAUGGUCCUGCCAUGAAUGAAUUCCUCAACCUUGUUGUGAAUAAUACUACCCCGACCACGUGUUUGUUUUAUUCUUUCCCGAUCGGCUCCUUCACCCGUGGUGUUUGCAGGCCGGGAAUCAGAAACUUCUUGAGGCUGCUAUUCGUCAAAAUAAAUUGGAAGAAAUAGCCCACCUUCGGACUCAGCUGCAGGAGGAACAACACCGGUCUCGGGAGCUCGAGAAGAAGCUAAAUGAAGCCAAAGCUGAGCAAGGAAAGGUCAAAGCUUUGGAGGAGGAGGUCGUCCAAUUGAAUACUAAGCUUGGCGACGCUGCUGCUGAGUUGACUCGCCAACUGGAUGAGGCGCAAAAGAAGCACCGACAUGGAGCUUACUGACGGGAUCACGGAAGCUGUGAUGAUUUAUAUCAAUGAUCGGAGAAUGAGAAAGAACGAGAAUGCUGGUUCGGGUUCGGCUAAUCCCAAAACCUAGUUUCGAUCUCCCGUAGUGUUGUGUCACUAUUUUGCCCCUCCUCUUGGGCUGUAAUUGAAAACUUUAUUUAAUGUCUAAACAUUGAAACCAAACCUCAUGCAUGCCACAUUUGAAACUGUUUGUGAUAUAGCCUCCAAUUCAUGUCAUAGCAGCUUAGAUUUGAUUCCUAUAAGUAACUUAGAUGGUUCUCUUGAAUACUUUCUGUUUGAAAAUUAGGCGUUUUUUUUUUUAAAUUACCGUCUGUGAAAUUAUCAAGUCUGACGAUUUUAUCCGCAAAGAUUAUACCGGUAUCUUCCUCUGUGAUACUUUUCCUCCGUUUUAAAAACUUCUGUGUUUUCUAUGUUGUAUGAUUCAGUUAUGACUAAUCUCGUCUCACAUGAUUAUGCAGGCGAGCAUUGUAGUGGCCAAAAUUCUUGUGCAAAUCUGUGUGUUCUCCCCUGCAAGUUUUGUUUUCUCAUUGAAAAGAUACAACUUCGCUUGAAUAUCAAUGACUCUGGGUACCCUAUCAUGACAUCACCUAUAUAUGUCAAUUAUGUUUUCAAGUUUGUUGAUGGACACAACUCUUGUGCAAGAGGAACGGGAUGCUGGGCUAGCUCAUAAGGAGGCAGUGUAUAGCCCAACAUAAUGGGCCUAGAGAUGAGUUAUAGUUUUAGUGUAUUUUUUCUAGUUCUCUCUAUAGCUAAUUAUCUACUAGUAUAACACGCACGCGCGAUGCGCCUGCCAUUCCAUUCCAAAAAAAAAUCAACCUUUCUCUAGUUCUCUGUAUAGCUAAUUAGCUACUAGUAUAGUACGC